AGACAACACAGGUACUGAACAGGUGUAACAGACGACACAGGUACUGAACAGGUGUAACAGACGACACAGGUACUGAACAGGUGUAACAGACGACACAGGUACUGAACAGGUGUAACAGACGACAC